AAUAUUCAAAUUAAAUUAAUUUUUUUUAUUAAUUGUUUGGCCACGUGGCACAUGUUUGGCAACCACGUUAGCAUAAAUGAGGACCUUAUAUUUGCCACGUCAUCACUUAAUGGUUAACUUAACUAAUUUUUUAACGGAUGUAUGAAAUUUAAAUGAAAUAAUGAUAAAUGUAUGAGAUUGAAAUGUUUUAAAGAUGUUGUAUAAGGUUGCAAUUGCACUGAAACCUGAGGGGGUAAAAUGUAAUUUACCCUAAAAAUAUUGGUCGGAGUUUAUAAAAUCUCUAAUAACUAUGUAACAUCUACUCAUAUUUCAGUUAACUGUAAAUAUCGGAAUGUGAUAUCAAUGAUUUGAACCGUUCAUUUUUUAUAUCCGCUAAAAGAUUAUGUUUUCAAAAAAGAAAAUAUGAAAAACCAAAUUCGGUGAGAGAACAAAGCGUAAUCGACAAUUGACGGUUAGAUAUAAAUCUAAGGUUUAUGGAUUUUGGUGUCAGAUUUCGGAGUUGACCCCUUCACGAAAGUUGUAAAGUUGUCAAUACGAGUGAUUGUGUGUGUGUGUGUGUGUGUAUAUAUUUUUUAUUGUGUUUUAUGAUGUCUUAAUCUCACUUUUAAGAGGAUAAAACAUUUAUGAGUUUGACUAUAUGAGAGAGAGUAAAUAACUUUGUUAUGUCAUUGACUCUAAAAUUGGUCAAGAGUUAACCAUAUUUGAAUCGAACUAACUUGUAAUGGGGCUAAGGAUGAUAGGCUCUUGAAAGAAAGGUUAUGGAAUUCAAAAAUUUUGAGAAAGUAUACAUUAGAGCAAGCCAAAAACAAUAGUACCCCAUCUGAAUUUCAACUGGAAAUAUGAACUUUGCAUCACAAGCUAUUCCUCCAAACCAUACAAUUGCAUACUCAAGCUUUUUACGUAUGAUAACCAUGAACAUUAAGAAUUUCAGUAUGCUAGAAGUAUGUUUGUACAUAACACAUUUCAACACCUUAGCACUCCAAUAUUUUCCAAUCUUUUGAUAAAUGAAUGAAACCCAUACUAUAACGAGCAUCCUACAGAUUUUUGAUCUUUUCUCUCUAUUUAAUCAUGCUCGAAUAUACAAUGCUUCAAUACCCCUCAUUUUGACAUUUCAAUGUAGUACACUCUCCAUCCAUUUUUCUAUAUAAACAAAACCCCAACAGCACAAUCUCUGUAAGACUUUCUCAAAAUAAUAAAGAAUAGGUAUAUACAUGAGAGCUCAACUCCAAUAUCGGAGCACGGUAAAGAGAUGUGGCUAACAAAGAAAAGGCUUAGUUUAAGGCUCAAAGGCUAGCAAUGAUGAAAUUAGCAUAUAAUGUAGGCAUGAAAAGGUAAAACAAUCCAAAAAUGGCCUAUAUCCUUUCCAAGUUAUUUUAUGAAUGGAUGAGUGAAUCAAGAGAUAUAAAGCAAGUUUUAGAGAUACAUGUAAAAAUGAGAGCAUGCGCACAAGAAUAAAUGAGAUUGAUGCGUAGUGGUUCAAUCAUAAAUUUUAAAUCACUAGAUUCACGAGGGUUACAAAAGCUCACUAGAUUCACAUAUGAAACUUUAAAUUAUGCUCUAAUUUCACACCAACAAGACUAUGUGCAUAUAAAUUUUUCAAGUCAUGAUCAUCAAAACAUAUAGUUAAAACAAAGAUAAUGUAAAGAACUAAUGUCAAGCUUAAAUUUCUUGAAAGUUAUGUACAUAAAAUCUGAAUCUCAUCGCUGAAUUGGGAACUAGCCACUAAGAACAAGACUAAAAAAAAAAAACAUUUUUGGAUUUUUCGAAAUUUCAUUUUUGAUGUAUUUUCUUGUUUUUCAUAACUAAAGCAAAAGGACUGAAAAAAAAAUGAAGAUAAAAAAAAAAACGAAAAUAGGCAACAAAAGGUAUAGAAAAAGAAUGCCCUUGGACAGAGAAACUUUUCGGGUUUAAAGGAGGAGUGGCAAGUGAAGAUGUAGAUGACAAUCCACCCCCAAACUUGAAUUUUAGUAUCAGCAGCAAGGUAGAGUAGCUCCAAUUUUAUGCAAAAUCAAUAAAACAAUGGGUAAGCUAAACAAGAGACUUAGGAAAUAAUCUAUUAUUGAAAAAAACUGACAAUUAACAUUAAACGUAAACCAACUAAAAGAUGUAACUGUGGAUGCAAAUUUCUUCCUCCUCGAUCUUGGACGAUUUUGCACCUACAAAACAAUUAACACCUUAGGUUAAGGCCAAGAGCCUCACGCGCCCACGAUGAAUGGGGGGGGGGCUUUGGCCGAAGAACCUCCGAUGCCAAAGUUAGAAUUUAGAGAGAAAGAGUGUUUAGAGAAUUUUGGGAUUUUUGCCAAAGUGUUGGAAUUGAUUUUUUGGUGAGAAUAGGUGCCUAUUUAUAGAGUUAGGAGGUGGCUAGGGUUUUUAGGUUUAAUUUAGGUUUAAUUAGCCAAUUUAUUAUGAUUAAUUGGCUAAUUUAAACAUAAAGGAAUGUUUUGAUGGUUAUGGGUUUAAUUGGCUAGCUAAUUAGUGUAAUUAAAAAGGGAAAAUGGUGGAAAAAGGUAGAGAAUAUGAUAGGCUCUUUUUGGAUGGGAAUGGCCGGCCUUUGGUGUAAUUUUGGGGUGAUUUGGUGAUGUAAUUAGCCUUUAAUAUAUUGAUUAUAUUAAUUGGUUGAGGAUGUUAUGGAAUGUUUGAAAUAAAUGGCUAAUUGAAUAAGGAAAAAAUGAGGUAAAAACAUUUAUGAAAUAGGUUUUGAAUUGUUACCCAUUUUGGGUACUUCUGACUUGGUUGAUGGAUGAUUCUCCACUGCUCGCGUGUAGGAGACCCGGUAUGCCUCGAGGGUAUUUUUAUCCUUUUUGUCCAAAAAAACCCACGUGUCGCCUUGUGAAUAUUUUUGGCUCCACAAAUGCCCCCACACCUGUUGGGCUGCUCGCAGAAAAGGGCGGCAGGUGUAGAGAUUUUCUUGCUUUAGGAAACUUAGGACUGCUUCCUAUUUUGAUGUAGAUUCUCUCUUUAAUAGGAAAAUUAGAUCCUUCUAGGAAAGGGAAAUAAAUUUCUCUCAAAGCCUAUUUAAGUCCACCUUAAGUGGGUUAUUAAAUCAACUUUGGAGAGCGAUUUAUUCUACCCUACAAGAGAGAGAUAGCUUAGAGGAUAUGUGUUCCCCCUCCUCUAGCAAUCUUAUACAUCUUGCCCGUGCAAAGGACCGUCUUUCGUUGCUUUCUUCGUCUUCCUCGUGCCGCACCAAUGUAAGAAAAAUUUAAUUUUUCUUGCCUUAUUCUUGGAUAGUGCUAUUGCGGGGUAGCCGUCGGGGUGGUGCGGCACGUCGGCUGGCAGGGGCCAGGAGCUGGCUCGGCAUGAGCUGAGGAGAUGUCGUGGCAGGGACCACUGCUUGGGCAACUUGGCUUGGCUUGAGCCAAGGGCAGCUUGUGCAGCUGGGGUCGAGGAUUGUGGCGCUAGGGCACAGUGUUAGGCGAGCUGCAUGGUUCAUGUCCUUUGGGCUCUUGGACCUGACUCGGGCCAGGCUGGCGAUUGAGAGAAAUAAGGAGAUUGCGGGUUUCAUGGGCUGCUGGAAUGUUGGGCAUGCAGGCCUUCUGCCUGCUGGAAUGCCGGGUUGAGCUCCCCUGCUGAGUACCAUGAAUGUCGUUGGCUGCUUAGUCUUCUUUGCUGAAAGAAAGGUGGGCUGCUCCAGAAAAAUGAGGUAAAGAGGAUCAAGGCGGAUGCAUUGGCUCGUCUGAUUGUUGUCGUGGAGCUUACUAUGAAUGAAGAUGGAAAGAAGAGAUCUUCCCCGCCUGCUCAUGAGAUGACUAGUUAAGAAAAAACUGAAGACUUCUUCUGCUGCUCAUGAGGGUCCGCUUGCUACCGAGAGGUAUGUGAUUGACAUGACUUCUUCUAAUGGGAAGAAAAUAAGGCUGCUAGAUCUGAGCAUGUGGCGUCUUCCAUGUUGAGAAUGGCUAGUACAAUUGUGGAUAAGAUUGCUCCGCGUAAAGGUUUUAUCAUGCCCCCAGUGCCGAAGUCUGUACCAGGACGUUCUUUGGGAGCCAAGUCCGGUUCACCUUUGUAGAGACUUGCUAUUAUGAAGAGUGGUAAGGUGGACUCUGCUGCUAAAGUGGCGCCAAAGCCUGCUCCCUUUGCUGCUGAGAUUGAUUCGCCUCAGAUUCAAGAUCUUAAGCUUGCAAUUUCUGAGCUUCGUUUCGAUGCUUAUGCUAAGAAGAGAGUGGAUGAGCUGCAGCGCGUCUGUGUUAGUCUGCUUAAGAAGAAUGAGCAGCUGAAGGGUGAGAAUGAUGGGUUUGAGGUUUUAAGACCUUCUCUAUUUCUCCGAAAGACUUGCUUGCUUUUACUUUUAAGGCUUCAAUUGGUGAAGUAGUUGGAGAAGUUAGUGCCCAGACUGGGGCAGCCGGGGGUGAAGCGCCGGAUGAUGCCGUUGCUAAGAGUGUUACGGCUGUUGAAGGUGUGGCGACCGAGUAGUCGUGGGAUGUCCAAGCUGCUGUAGUGUAGUAUUUUAGGUAGCCUUUAGGAUUUUCUUUAUUUUUCCUUGUAGCUCUUGUUUUGCUUGAACUCCUUCGACCUUUGCUAGUUGUUUAUAAACAUGUUUUCCUUCAUUUUUCUUCAUCUUCACUUCUUUUGUUCAUGCCCUAACCUUUAGACUUGAUAGACCAGUGGUAGGCAUGCUACUUUUUUAUAAGCAGACAAGCUCGCAUAGCCUGUGCAGCUGUAGGUGUUGGUGUAGAACUUUGCAAAGUUGUUAGCCAUAGGGUUGGCAGCCGGAUGCCUUACUUACAGAAGAAGACAAGUCCGCGUAACCACUAGGCUGUUAACCUUGACUUUCUUCAAUUCCGUAGGUUGCGUAGCAAGUAUCACAACACUUUAGGACUUGGUGUAGGUUGUUCCGCGCUUGGCAGAGGUGAAGCUUAUCGACUACGUAGCAUGUCGGCAAUGGAUAAAACUUCGUAUAUGCGCGCUAGCUUGUUUAACCUUUCACAAGAAUGUGCGGUUGUAUAAGUCUAGCGCGGCUUUACUGCUCGAAGGGCAAGCCGUAGGCAGUCUUCCGGAAUCCGUAGGCUACCUUAGUGCACUCGGUAGCAGCUUUAGGAUUCCAGGGCAACCGUCCAUUGGAUGUACUGCGUAAUGUGCCAUCUCCGUCUCUAGGGCCCGGUUCCCCACGGAUUAGGCCAAGAGACCCAAAAUCCUUCAGUUAGCUAAGCCUUGAAAAAGACCAUUGCGGCUACUUCUAGGAAUCCCGGCGCAAGCCAUCGUGCAUCUAGUUAUACUAGGGCAGCCAGGCUCAUCCACGUCUGGAUAUUCGGAGUGUAAAGUUUAUCCUCCCGUCUUGGAGAGCUGACCCAUAUGGGUGUCGGGGAAUUGGUUUACCCUCUCGCACUGGAGAGCAUGGUUGGUCCCUCGGGGGGCGCAAUUCCUGCGAUGGGUUCCUAAGAAGGGCAUAAUCUUCUUUUGAAGUGUUUGAGUGAUCACUUGUUGUAAGCAUGCAGCCGAGCCAAGUUGUGAUUACUUCUGAAUUCCUCAUUGAAAAACGAGUGAAACGAACGAGAACUUAGCUGUAAGGUAGGAACUGCAUAACAACUGGAUAGUCCUCGACUUGUGAGGUGGUGCCCGUCGAGCUUCUUAAGUCUUCGGGCUUUGAUGUAGUCGAAGGUCACACAUGGUACUUCUUCAGAUUGUAGGCGCUCCACUACUUUUCAAUCUUUUUAUCGUUUCAUGGUAGCGGGGGUAUAAUUACUCUUGCCGCCUAUUCUACUGAGCUUGUACAGACCUUCCUAGAUGAGAUCCAUCUUUUUGGAUGUUUCGGCUUGCCUAUUGCCUUAAGGAUAUCUCGGCAUGGACAUAUGCUGCUUGAUGCCAUAUUUUUGGAAGAACUUCGCCAAAUCUUUGCCCACGAAUUGCAGGCCGUUGUUGGUGACGAUGGAUUAAGGGAUGCCAAAUCGGUACAUGAUGUUCCUCCAUAUGAAGCGUUAUAUGUCCGUCUAAAUCGUGGUCGUCAUGGGCUCUGCUUCCACUUAUUUGGUGAAGUAGUCGGUUGCCACGAACCACGGCUGCUCGCGAGCCUUUGUAGUUGGAUGCGCCGUUGACAUGCAAAUGCCAGAAAUCUCCAUUGAGGGAAUAUGUGCGGCUAAAGUGUGAUCGACUGCCUUCGGGGCAUCGUUGGGCCGAGUUGUUACGUUCGUCAGAAAACUUUGCAUCUGCCAAGGUCUACGCCUUUAUCGUCGCCGGUUUGGAUUCGGCGGAAUAGUGUGUCAUGAUGAUGAUUGCAGGUAACUGUAGAAUACAGGUAGUCGGGCCCCCAGCUCUUCUCGUAUGAUGGUAGAGCUUAUUCCUACUUUAGAUACCGUCAAACAUGCGAAUAAGUCCUCCGCUGCUUCUAGGGAGGUGAUGUCAGGUACUUCUUCAAGUCCUUGAAUGUGCAUUGGCGAGCCUCAUCCCAAAGUGCAUGCUUCUCUGCUAAAGCAAAAGAGUCUGCCAGAGUUAGAUCUUCUUUCAUGAUCAAUUUUCCGAAUAGCGGGUGGUUUGCUGGAAGUCCUUUUUGGGAGGCUGCUCUAGCUAUCGAGUCGUUGCAUCCGAUUAUUUUUGCCUUCUCUACUUUGAACCUCCUCACAUAGUCGCGAAGCGACUCCUUUGGGUUCUUCUUGACGUCGAACAAAUGGUCAGACUUCUUUUUGAUCGAGCGAUAGGAUGAAUAUUCUUUGGUGAAAACCAAAGAAAGUUCGUAGAAAUUCCGAAUGGAUUGUGGCGGCAGGGUGUAGAACCAAUCUUGUGCCUCGUCUUCUAGAGUGGUGGCGAAUAUCUUGCACAUGAGAUAUCGUUGUUUCGAUAAAGGAUCAUUGCACUUUGGUAACGUUUUAAGUGUCUCUCCGGGUCUUCAUCCCCUUUGAAAGAUGUGAAAUGUGGCAUGCUGAACUCGCGUGGAGGCUCUGCCUGCUCAAUCUCCUCCGUGAAGGGUGACCUGCUUAUGUUGGUUAUGUUCCGUCGUAGUGCCUCGUCGGUGACCUCGUUGCGUUGGAAAUCAUGCAAUCGCUUGGUCAAUAGUCUCUUUACUUCUUCCUGAAUUUGCCUUUGUUGGGGGUAGCGGAGCUCUCGGCUGCCCCCAGUCAUGACUUGCUGGUCUAGGCUGCUCUUCCAUGUGUUUGGCUCGUCUAUGCCGCGGAUGCAGUGCAUGUGAUGAGUUCCUAGUAGGCGAGCGAGUUAUUCGCAUGCUGCUGGUUGAACUUGAGCUGGAUUGAGUGACUGCUUCUCUCAGUCCGUCGUGCUGCCUACUCUGAUGUGAGGUGGAUGACGCUCCUUGUGGGCUUAGCUGCGAAUAGACACUUUACCCGGAAGGUUGUUCAUGUUGACUAUCGGAGUAUAACCCCAACCGUGAAUGUAUGCUCCUCCGUGGGCUUAGUCGAGAGUGCAUGCUCAUUCGCGCUCUAAGACGGGAAUGUACACUGCCCAAACGUUCGGCUCGUGGCUGCUUGCCGGGAUGCUGCUGGAAAUGUCCGUUUGCCCUUGUCCUACUUCAGGAUACCUCAUCCGGGGCACGUUGGAUCCCAAUGUGUUGCAAAAGUUGAUUCACCAAGGUUGUCUGUUGUGCAAGGGCGCUCGUCAACUCUAUGACUUGUCGAGACAAGUGUUGUUCGCCAUUUGGAUUGGAAGAGAUUGGAAGGAAUGCGUCUCCUUGGGCAGUGAAAUGGUAGUAGACUUCGGGCGCGAGAUUUGAGUUGGGAAAUGUCAAACCGGAAAAAAAAUGUGGUGAGAAUGCCCCCGGUUCGAUGGUAGGUCCGGAUGGUUGAGAUAGUCUUGGGCUGACUUGGGCUGCUUGGAAAGCCACUGGAGCACGAUAGGCAGUGAGAGUGGGCUGCUCGUCGGGAGCAGGCUGGGUCAUGAAAGCAGGCUGCUUGGCAGGAGCAGGCUGGGCCACGGGAAUGGGCUGCUCGACGGAAGCAGGUUGGGCCAUGGGAGUCGCUGCUUGACGGAAGCAGGCUGGACCACAAGAGUGGGCUGCUCGUCGGGAGCAAGUUGGGUCACGAGAACAGGCUGCUUGGCAGGAGCAGGCUGGGCCACGGGAGUGGGCUGCUUGAUGGAAACAGGCUGGACCACAGGAGUGGGCUGCUCGUCGGGAGCAGGCUGGGUCACGAGAGCAAGCUGCUUGGCAGGAGCAGGCUGGGCUGCGAAAGCAAGUUGCUUGGCGGGAGCAGGCUGGGCCGUGAGAGCAAGUUGCUUGGCGGGAGCAGGCUGGGCCACGGGAUUGGGCUGCUCGACGGAAGCAGGUUGGACCACGAGAGUGGGCUACUCGUCGAGAGCAGGCUGGACCACGGGAGUGGGCUGCUCGUCGGGAGCAGGCUGGGUCACGAGAGCAGGCUGGGCCACGGGAGUGGGUUGCUCAAUGCGCGGUGCAUGUGAAUGCGAGGCUUGGGCUUGGGUCCACGUAAACUUGGAUGGCACGGCUUGGAUUGUGGUCUUGGUACGGUGAGCCUUGGAUGGCACGGCUCGGGCCGUGGUGAAGGCUCCAUGGACCUCGCCACGAGUGGCUACUGAAGUAGCCACCGCGGUGGUUCCCAUGAUGGCCGUGGUGAAGGCACCAUGGACCUCGCCGUGGGUGGCUACCGAGGUAGCCACCGCGGUGGUUCCCAUGGUGGAAACUCGUAGUGGUGAUGCCGCUCCCCUUAUUGUCGCAUUUUGCCUCACGGAUCUCCGGGCCGUGGUGAAGGCUCCAUGGACCUCGCCACGAGUGGCUACCGAAGUAGCCACCGCGGUGGUUCCCAUGGUGGCCGUGGUGAAGGCACCAUGAACCUCGCCGCGGGUGGCUACCGAGGUAGCCACCACGGUGGUUCCCAUGGUGGAAGCUCGUGAUGAUGAUGCCGAUCCCCUUAUUGUCCCAUUUAGCCUCACGGAUCUCCGCAAUCCCAUUUCUUGAACAUUAGAAUUUUCACUUGUGGAAUUUUCUAAAUUUCUAGCCAUUAUAUUUUGCUUAUACGUUUUAUCAAAGAACCUUUGCAAGUAAAAAAUUCUAAUAAUAAGAACGUAUGAAAAAUAUUCAAAUGGACUAGAAAAUAAAGAAAAAAAACCUUUUUUUGUGCGAGAGUCUUCUACGAGUAUGGAUUUCAACUCUCAAUGAAAGCACCAAUUUGUGGAUGCAAAUUUCUUCCUCCUCGAUCUUGGACGAUUUUGCACCUACAAAAUAAUUAACACCUUAGGUUAAGGCCAAGAGCCUCACGCGCCCACGAUGAAUGGGGGGGCUUUGGCCGAAGAACCUCCGAUGCCAAAGUUAGAAUUUAGAGAGAAAGAGUGUUUAGAGAAUUUUGGGAUUUUUGCCAAAGUGUUGGAAUUGAUUUUUUUGGUGAGAAUAGGUGCCUAUUUAUAGAGUUAGGAGGUGGCUAGGGU
rnacentral:lncRNA from 1 species